AUUGAACGCUGGCGGCAUGCCUUACACAUGCAAGUCGAACGGUAACAGGUCUUCGGAUGCUGACGAGUGGCGAACGGGUGAGUAAUACAUCGGAACGUGCCUAGUAGUGGGGGAUAACUACUCGAAAGAGUGGCUAAUACCGCAUGAGAUCUACGGAUGAAAGCAGGGGAUCGCAAGACCUUGUGCUACUAGAGCGGCCGAUGGCAGAUUAGGUAGUUGGUGGGAUAAAAGCUUACCAAGCCGACGAUCUGUAGCUGGUCUGAGAGGACGAUCAGCCACACUGGGACUGGGACACGGCCCAGACUCCUACGGGAGGCAGCAGUGGGGAAUUUUGGACAAUGGGCGAAAGCCUGAUCCAGCAAUGCCGCGUGCAGGAUGAAGGCCUUCGGGUUGUAAACUGCUUUUGUACGGGACGAAAAGCCCUGGGUUAAUACCCUGGGGUCAUGGCGGUACCGUAAGAAUAAGCACCGGCUAACUACGUGCCAGCCGCCGCCGUAA
rnacentral:rRNA from 1 species